rnacentral:rRNA from 1 species
GACGAACGCUGGCGGCGUGCUUAACACAUGCAAGUCGAACGGAAAGGCCCUGCUUUUGUGGGGUGCUCGAGUGGCGAACGGGUGAGUAACACGUGAGUAACCUGCCCUUGACUUUGGGAUAACUUCUGGAAACUGGGGCUAAUACCGGAUAUGAGCUCCUGCUGCACGGUGGGGGUUGGAAAGUUUCGGCGGUUGGGGAUGGACUCGCGGCUUAUCAGCUUGUUGGUGGGGUAGUGGCUUACCAAGGCUUUGACGGGUAGCCGGCCUGAGAGGGUGACCGGCCACAUUGGGACUGAGAUGAGGCCCAGACUCCUACGGGAGGCAGCAGUGGGGAAUAUUGCACAAAGGGCGGAAGCCUGAGGCGGCAACGCCGCGUGCGGGAUGACGGCCUUCGGGUUGUAGACCGCUUUCGCCUGUGACGAAGCGUGAGUGACGGUAAUGGGUAAAGAAGCACCGGCUAACUACGUG